rnacentral:rRNA from 1 species
UACGUAGGGUGCAAGCGUUAAUCGGAAUACUGGGCGUAAAGCGUGCGCAGGCGGUGAUGUAAGACAGUUGUGAAAUCCCCGGGCUCAACCUGGGAACUGCAUCUGUGACUGCAUCGCUGGAGUGCGGCAGAGGGGAUGGAAUUCCGCGUGUAGCAGUGAAAUGCGUAGAUAUGCGGAGGAACGCCGAUGGCGAAGGCAAUCCCCUGGGCCUGCACUGACGCUCAUGCACGAAAGCGUGGGGAGCAAACAGG